AGUGAACGCUGGCGGUAGGCCUAACACAUGCAAGUCGAACGGCAGCACAGUAAGAGCUUGCUCUUACGGGUGGCGAGUGGCGGACGGGUGAGGAAUACAUCGGAAUCUACUUUUUCGUGGGGGAUAACGUAGGGAAACUUACGCUAAUACCGCAUACGACCUACGGGUGAAAGCAGGGGAUCUUCGGACCUUGCGCGAUUGAAUGAGCCGAUGUCGGAUUAGCUAGUUGGCGGGGUAAAGGCCCACCAAGGCGACGAUCCGUAGCUGGUCUGAGAGGAUGAACCGCCACACUGGAACUGGGGCACGGGCCAGACUCCUACGGGGGGCAGCAGUUGGGAAUAUUGGACAAUGGGGGGAAGCCUGGUCCAGCCAUACCGCGUGGGUGGAGGAGGCCUUCGGGUUGUUAAGCCCUUUUGUGGGGAAAGAAAAGCAGCAGGUUAAUACCCCGCUGUUCUGACGGUACCCAAAGAAUAAGCACCGGCUAACUUCGUG
rnacentral:rRNA from 1 species